UACGUAGGGGGCAAGCGUUGUCCGGAAUCAUUGGGCGUAAAGAGCGCGUAGGCGGCCCAGUAAGUCCGCUCUGAAAGUCAGAGGCUCAACCUCUGAAUGCGGGUGGAUACUGCUGGGCUAGAGUCCGGAAGAGGCGAGUGGAAUUCCUGGUGUAGCGGUGAAAUGCGCAGAUAUCAGGAGGAACACCGGUGGCGAAGGCGGGUCUCUGGGCCGAAACUGACGCUGAGGAGCGAAAGCGUGGGGAGCAAACAGG
rnacentral:rRNA from 1 species